CGAGCCGGCCGGACGGCCGCGUCGGGGAGCGAUCCCCGUCGAGGAAAGUCCGGGCUCCACAGGGCAGGGUGGUCGGUAACGCCGACCCGGGGUGACCCGCGGGACAGUGCCACAGAAAGCAAACCGCCACCGCCUCGCGCGGUGGUAAGGGUGAAACGGUGAGGUAAGAGCUCACCAGCGCCCACGGUGACGUGGGCGGCUCGGUAAACCCCACCCGGAGCAAGGUCAAGAAGGGGCCCCGCAAGAGGCCCCGCGCAGGUGCCCGAGGGCGGCCCGCCCGAGCCUGCGGGUAGACCGCUGGAGGCCGUCGGCAACGGCGGCCCGAGAUGGAUGGCCGUCACCCGCCGCCCCGCAAGGGACGGCGGCCCACAGAACCCGGCUUACAGGCCGACUCGUCCG
rnacentral:RNase_P_RNA from 1 species